GCCAUUGUAUUUUUCAGGAGCUCUUGAUGGGCAAGGUCAUUGAUCGAGGCCAUGAACGUGGUGAUUUACGUGUCCUUGACAAUGAACAUGCGCAUGCAAACUUCUCAGCAUCUACAUGGUUUGAUUUAUGCUAUAAGCAUCUUAGACACUCCUCUAAUGAGCAGCUAUAUAAAUGGCGUACCACUUUCCUUUUCUUCCAAUAAUGACAAUGUUAUUUGUGAUGUUUGUCCAA
rnacentral:lncRNA from 1 species